rnacentral:rRNA from 1 species
UACGAAGGGGGCUAGCGUUGUUCGGAAUUAUUGGGCGUAAAGGGUGCGUAGGCGGUUUGGUAAGUCUGAUGUGAAAUCUAUGGGCUCAACUCAUAGUCUGCAUCGGAAACUGCCGGGCUUGAGUAUGGGAGAGGUGAGUGGAAUUCCUGGUGUAGCGGUGAAAUGCGUAGAUAUCAGGAGGAACACCUGUGGCGAAAGCGGCUCACUGGACCAUAACUGACGCUGAUGCACGAAAGCUAGGGGAGCAAACAGG